UGAACGCUGGCGGCGUGCCUAAUACAUGCAAGUCGAGCGACCGGACGAGAAGCUUGCUUUUCUGAUGUUAGCGGCGGACGGGUGAGUAACACGUGGAUAACCUACCUAUAAGACUGGGAUAACUUCGGGAAACCGGAGCUAAUACCGGAUAAUAUUUUGAACCGCAUGGUUCAAAAGUGAAAGACGGUCUUGCUGUCACUUAUAGAUGGAUCCGCGCUGCAUUAGCUAGUUGGUAAGGUAACGGCUUACCAAGGCAACGAUGCAUAGCCGACCUGAGAGGGUGAUCGGCCACACUGGAACUGAGACACGGUCCAGACUCCUACGGGAGGCAGCAGUAGGGAAUCUUCCGCAAUGGGCGAAAGCCUGACGGAGCAACGCCGCGUGAGUGAUGAAGGUCUUCGGAUCGUAAAACUCUGUUAUUAGGGAAGAACAUAUGUGUAAGUAACUGUGCACAUCUUGACGGUACCUAAUCAGAAAGCCACGGCUAACUACGUG
rnacentral:rRNA from 1 species